ensembl:misc_RNA Metazoa_SRP Metazoan signal recognition particle RNA
GCCGGGUGCGGUGGCUCACACCUGUAAUCCCAGCACUUUGGGAGGCUGAGGUGGGUGGAUCACCUGAGGUCAGGAGUUUGAGACCAGCCUGGCCAACAUGGUGAAACCCCAUUUCUA